UACGUAGGGAGCAAGCGUUGUCCGGAAUCAUUGGGCGUAAAGCGCGCGUAGGUGGCCUCGUAAGUCCGCUGUGAAAGUCAAAGGCUCAACCUUUGAAAGCCGGUGGAUACUGUGAGGCUAGAGUACGGAAGAGGCGAGUGGAAUUCCUGGUGUAGCGGUGGAAUGCGCAGAUAUCAGGAGGAACACCAAUAGCGAAGGCAGCUCGCUGGGACGUUACUGACACUGAGGCGCGAAAGCGUGGGGAGCAAACAGG
rnacentral:rRNA from 1 species